UCCAGUCCGCGGGUGUCCGGACUCGGCAAGGCCCGGCGCGGCGGCCUUUUGCGCGGUCCAGAACGGCCCCGGCCGCCAGCGACGGAAUCCCCGCCGGCGCCUCUGCCGGAGUCACAACUGCAAGGCGCGCGCGGGGGCGCCGGAGCCGCGCCCGCGGAGGAGAGCCGCCACCCUCCACGACCACGGGGGGCCCGGGCGCGCGAGACCCCCGCACCGCAGGGCAGGAGUGCGAUCCGUAUCGGAGCAGCUUCGUUACGCGGAAUCCACGCAGUUCGGACGCGACCCCGCCUUCAAUCGGGCUGCUCCCGGAGCCGCCGCUCGUCGCCUGCGGCGGCAGAAUGAAGGGGCGCUUGCUCGGCAACCGCGGGCGUCGUGAGCUGCGAGGAGGCUUCGGCAGCUGCGGCGAGUGUGCUUUACUUCUAGGAGUUACUGAACCAAUCUUAAGAAAUGCUUAGAGUAUUUUCUGGCUGCUGAAUAUGCUUUCAAGAAGGUGCAAGAAGCUGGGCUGUAGCAUUCUGCUGUCUCCAGAUGAGAGGUGAAUCAUUCUGACAUUUGAAUGCGGACCAAAUGUUCUUAUACUGACAAGUGUCAUGAGCAAUUCUGGUUCCCACUGAAGUUCCCUUGUUAAAUAAGUCCCAGGCCUGUCCUUCAUUUUUUCUGGAAUCUGGGGGGGGGGGGGG